rnacentral:tRNA from 1 species
AGUUGAUUAGCUUAAGAAAGCAUGUAUUUUGAAAGUACAAGAAAAAGGUUUAAAUCCUUUAUUAACUU